GCGCGACACUUCCCGGGAAUCCCCGCAGCGCGUGCCCAGCGCCUCCCUCGGCAGUCCCCGCGCUUCUACAGCUCUGCGCAACGGUUCCCCGAUGUUUGCGGAGUGAAUCGCCGCGCCGCUUGGCGCCCCGGCAGUGGGCUCCCCGGGAAGACGCUUCUCCCGGGACCAUCCGGGACUGCCAGUUGGACCCUUCUCCAAGAGGCGCCUGGAGGAGAAAGGAAUGGCCGUUGAAGAUCUAAAAACCACUUGCGGGAAGAGAAACUCCUCAAGAUGGCGGAUACGCCAAAAUGGCUGAGGUUCCUGUCACC